rnacentral:tRNA from 1 species
GCCGGCGUGGCGGAACUGGCAGACGCGCAGGACUUAAAAUCCUGUUGUAGCAAUACAGUACCGGUUCGAUUCCGGUCGCCGGCAGCA